rnacentral:rRNA from 1 species
AAUAGAUACCCCGGUAGUCCACGCUGUAAACGUUGGGCGCUAGGUGUGGGGGGGCCUCUCCGGUUCUCUGUGCCGCAGCUAACGCAUUAAGCGCCCCGCCUGGGGAGUACGGCCGCAAGGCUAAAACUCAAAGGAAUUGACGGGGGGCCCGCACAAGCGGCGGAGCAUGCGGAUUAAUUCGAUGCAACGCGAAGAACCUUACCUGGGUUUGACAUGGCCGCAAAACCCGGCAGAGAUGUCGGGUCCUUCGGGGCGGUCACAGGUGGUGCAUGGCUGUCGUCAGCUCGUGUCGUGAGAUGUUGGGUUAAGUCCCGCAACGAGCGCAACCCUCGUUCGAUGUUGCCAGCGGUUCGGGCCGGGGGACUCAUCGAAGACUGCCGGGGUCAACUCGGAGGAAGGUGGGGAUGACGUCAAGUCAUCAUGCCCCUUAUGUCCAGGGCUUCACGCAUGCUACAAUGGCCGGUACAAUGGGCUGCGAUACCGUGAGGUGGAGCGAAUCCCAAAAACGCCGGUCUCAGUUCGGAGUCGGGGUUCUGCAACUCGACCCCGGU